AGUUUUGAUUUUUACUAUGAAAUAACAAUCUAUUAAUGAGCUGUGCUAUUUGAUGCUGUGUACGGACUUUCUGGAGACCGUUUGAUGAUAUCUUUUACUGUUUAUAGCCUCCCCCAACACUGCCCAAAGGAAAAUUCUCAGACCUAUUCAUAGACUUUGUUGAAAAAUGUUUGAAGAAGAAGCCAUCAGACAGGGCAGAUCUUCAGUCAUUAAUGAGCCACCCAUUUGUCACACGGUCAGAGGAGGAAGUCAUGGACAUUGGGAAUUGGGUGUGUAAGGUAAUGAACAUCAAGCCGGAGCAGAAGAAUAGUUAAGCACCAAGCAGCAUUCCAGGCCAGCCAUAUAUCUUAGUGGUUCUACCCCUCCAAUCAGUCAGGCAUACCGGAGUAACUUCAGUUAGAGCUUUGGAAAAUGUUUUAACUUGAAAUUGAUAAAUUCCAAACCUUUCCCUUCUCAGACGUGAUAAAUGUAUAAUGUAAUACUAUCAAUAGAAUAUUGUAAGCAAUAUUUACUUUUUUAAUGUAUAUGUACAAUAUCUGAAAGCUCUUCAACCAAUGGGCAUUACUCAAAUUGUAAGGAUUCUAUUUUACUGAUUAUAAAGAAAAUUUUCUACCUACGCAAGUUACUUCAGAAGCAAUGUAAAAUACAGUGAGAAUGAGUAAACUAUGGAUAGAUACUCCAAUAGGACGAGUAUUUAGAUAUAGAGGAGGAGCAAUGUGUUCAUACCAUUUGUAUGUAGUCUAUUUAUUUAUAUGACCCUAUCACACAAACAUCAUGUAUUUUGAGCACAGAUUUCACAUUAAGUAAUUUAUAUUUUUGGCUAUGAUAGUGUGAUUUUUAGAUUUUUUUUCUGAGAGUUUUCACUGAAGUUAGUGAGCUGUUGUGUAAUUGUCUAAAUGUGUGUUUUACAGAGAGGUAUAUCGUUAAGGUUAUCAAACAAGCUGACCUUGUUAUGGAUCUAAUAUAUGGAAUAAUAUUAUUUACCGUAAUCAUGUUAAUACAUAUAAACAUAUAGAAACAUAAAAAAAAUUAUUAUUGUCUUUACUCUUAAGACUAUUGAGUUCAUUUAUGAUGAUCAUUAUGUUAGUAUACUUGAUGUCAGCUAGUAGUCUCCCUUGCACAUCUGAAUUAGAUGAAUUAUAGAAAGAAUUAAGCCUGCAUUCAUUAAGCGUUGUUAAUAUCAGAAAUGUUUUCAAAAAGCUAAGUGUUCAUGAUGUCACAAAAUUGGGACUAAUUUAAUGAAUUUUAUCUGUGUGUAUAUGUACCAUUGAAAGAUUUAUUAAAAUUUUCUUCAAAAUUA